UCAGAUGUGAGAUAUAACAAUGUCUCGGUGUUGUUUAACAACGCCACCUAUUUUGAGACUGAAGAUUUACCUGAUGAAUCAGAAUGUGACAAGAAAUGUCAAUAUUGGUACCGGUGUACAGGUUUCCUGUAUAACUUACAGAACAACAGUUGUCAACGAAUGAUAGACAGCUCUGAAAACUUUGAUGCUCUGCCAGUUUUUAGUUUAAAUGACGAUCCAGAUUCUUUUAAUUUCUUUGGACCAAAAUCUGGAAAGCGAGCAUUUCUGGAGAUAUUACAGACGGCAAACAGUAGAUCGAAUGAGACAUCAACAGUGUUUAGCUGUAUACCCACAGAAACAACAACAGACGGU